GAUGAACGCUGGCGGCGCGCCUAACACAUGCAAGUCGAACGAUUAAAGCACCUUCGGGUGUGUAUAAAGUGGCGAACGGCUGAGUAACACGUGGGCAACCUGCCCCUUUCAUUGGGAUAGCCACGGGAAACCGUGGAUAAUACCGAAUACUUCGAGACUUCCGCAUGGAAGACUCGAGAAAGCUCCGGCGGAGAGGGAUGGGCCCGCGGCCUGUUAGCUUGUUGGUGGGGUAACGGCCUACCAAGGCAAUGAUGGGUAGCUGGGUUGAGAGACCGACCAGCCAGAUUGGGACUGAGACACGGCCCAGACUCCUACGGGAGGCAGCAGUGGGGAAUCUUGCACAAUAGGCGAAAGCCUGAUGCAGCGACGCCGCGUGCGGGAUGAAGGCCUUCGGGUUGUAAACCGCUUUCAGCAGGGACGAGGCGAAAGUGACGGUACCUGCAGAAGAAGCCCCGGCUAACUACGUG
rnacentral:rRNA from 1 species